GACGAACGCUGGCGGCGUGCUUAACACAUGCAAGUCGAACGCUGAAGCUCAGCUUUUGCUGGGUGGAUGAGUGGCGAACGGGUGAGUAACACGUGAGUAACCUGCCCUCUUCUUUGGGAUAACGCCCGGAAACGGGUGCUAAUACUGGAUAUUCACUGAUCUUCGCAUGGGGGUUGGUGGAAAGGUUUGUUCUGGUGGGGGAUGGGCUCGCGGCCUAUCAGCUUGUUGGUGGGGUGAUGGCCUACCAAGGCUUUGACGGGUAGCCGGCCUGAGAGGGUGACCGGUCACAUUGGGACUGAGAUACGGCCCAGACUCCUACGGGAGGCAGCAGUGUGGAAUAUUGCACAAUGGGCGAAAGCCUGAUGCAGCGACGCCGCGUGAGGGAUGGAGGCCUUCGGGUUGUAAACCUCUUUCGCUCAUGGUCAAGCCGCGACGUGGGUUGUGGUGAGGGUAGUGGGUAAAGAAGCGCCGGCUAACUACGUG
rnacentral:rRNA from 1 species